UCCCUGGUGGUCCAGUGGCUAAGACUGGGCGCUUCCAAUGCAGGGGGCGUGGGUUCAAUGCCUGCCUGGGGAA
rfam:Ovis aries breed Texel chromosome 4, whole genome shotgun sequence.